rnacentral:rRNA from 1 species
AUGAAGCUCAUUAAGACUAGAUGGGUAUCCCUACAUAGCGGGUGGGACCCACGGCGAAUGGUUCAUCAAGUCUUCAAAAAAGAAUAUAUACGAUUGCAUUGCAAAUACUAACGGAUGCGAUCAUACCAGCACUAAUGCAC